GAUGAAGAACGCAGCGAAAUGCGAUAAGUAGUGUGAAUUGCAGAAUUCAGUGAAUCAUCGAAUCUUUGAACGCGCAUUGCGCCCCUUGGUAUCCCGAGGGGCAUGCCUGUUCGAGCGUCAUUUCACCACUCAAGCCUGGCUUGGUGUUGGGCGACGUCCUCUUUGGGGACGCGCCUCGAAACGCUCGGCGGCGUGGCACCGGCUUUAAGCGUAGCAGAAUCUUUCGCUUUGGAAGUCGGGGCCCCGUCUGCCGGAAGACCUGCUCGCAAGGUUGACCUCGGAUCAGGCAGGGAUACCCGCUGAACUUAAGCAUAUCAAUAAGCGGAGGA
rnacentral:misc_RNA from 1 species